CUUUCUUAUUACAAUUCAUUUGUUUUCAUUCUACGCCCUCUCCUUCUUCUCCUUUUUCUUUACUUUAAUCCAAAAACACAGUCACUUCUUGCUGCUCUGAAACAUGGUUUUAAAUGGUUCAGCUGUCAUCAGUGUGUUCCCUUAGAGGCCCUCUUUCUCCUGGAAGAAUUGUUUGCUGUUUAAUUCGUUUGGUCAGCACCCCGGUCUUCUGUGUUCUGGCGGCACUGUCGCCCAGACUGUCUGAACUGAGCUGUCUCUCAGCCUCUGUGAAAGUGUCCUCCACUCAGGCGUGGAGGGCGGGGAGCCUCCUUGGCUCCACUGAGACACUGCUUCUCUCUCCAGGAGCAAUGGUGUGUGAAACCCAAGUCACCGCUGAUGGCAAAACAGAUCUGAAUCCACCUUACUUCCAUUCUCUGCUCUCAGAAAAAAGUCUACACGUCUGGACGUGAACUUGACAGUGAUCAUCCUGGAGACGCCUCCAAGCUGGAUGCAGAUGAACAUGUAGAAAGGUUCUGCUCAAAGUAUGGUCCAGGGACCGGCAGCAUCAGCAUCGCCUGGGACCUCGUUCAAAAUGCAGAUUCCCGGUCUCAGCUCAGACCUGCUGAGUCACAAUCUCUGGCGGUGGGUCACCCUCCGAGAGAGGAUGUCACACACUAAAAUCUGAGAGGCGCUGAUGUCCAAGAUUCCAUCCGAGUUUCCAGAUGUGAGGAAUUGGGAUUCCUGGUCACUAUUUGGAGGAGCACCACUCAGGAGAGCCAGCUCACCAGGAUUACCCGCACUGGAGCUUAUGCAAGGGGAAACGGAACACUUCCCUGGCAAGGCCAGUGAGAUCAUUGCUGUUUGUUACAGCACGUAGCCUGGUCUUCAAUGACCGAUACACGGCACAUUUAAAUGAGGGUCGAGACUUCUACUCAGGGCUUCUCCUAGCAGACAUUUGCCACCCCGGCUUUGGGAGAAGUCUGUUUUAAUAAUCAGCGCUCAGGUUUGCAGCUUCCAGGUGGCCACAGGGGUAUCGGGCUUGGACAGUGUCGUAGCCCUCCUACGUGUGUGGGGGCAGGAGUACAGGACCGGCACGGGUCAGUCAUCAUCUUGGUCACUGAUGAAACACUUUUAAAGACCAAUUUCUUCCUUCCUUGUUCCAGCCUGACCUUCUUCAGAUUAAGAAGGGACCAUAGAGAUUUCUUCAUUGGGAAGAAGGCCUGGAGAAUAAAAAAUGGGGCAAAAAAAAUCUCCCUUUUCA
ensembl:lncRNA